rnacentral:misc_RNA from 1 species
CGCGUGCCCACUCCCUUCAAACCUUCAUCAAACACCCGUUGCGCUUGCGCCAGCGGGCAGCCCCUCUCCCGCAGCCGCAGUCCCAGUCCCACGCGCAUUCCGCCCCGCGGCUCCCGAGAGAGAGAGAUGGCCAGGCACGCCAAGACGGACUCCGACGUGACGAGCCUGGCGGCGUCCACGCCGCCGCGGUCCCCGCGCGGCCGCCCGGCCUACUACGUGCUCAGCCCCGCCGCCUCCCACCCGGACGUCCACCUGGGCGCCUCCGGCGGCGUGGCGGGGACCACCCCGGCGGAGUCGCCGCUCCACUACCACUUCCACCACCACCGCCACCACUCGAGCGGCGGCGCCGGUGUCGGCGUGGGCGGCAUGCACCACUCCCGGGAGUCCUCGACGGGGCGGCUCCUCUUCUCCGACCAGCUCCGCUCCGGCGGCGACGUCGCCGCGGUGGUGAGCGUCCCCUGGCGCCGGCUCGGGAACGGCAGCGGCGCGGGCAGCGUCGGGGACGAGGACGACGACGGCGCGUCCCUGCGCGGCGGGUCGUUCGCGGAGUCGCCGUGGCGGUGCUACGCGCUCGGCGCGGUCGCGUUCGUCGCCGUGUUCGCCUUCUUCCUGAUCGUGCUGUGGGGCGCCAGCAGGUCGUACAAGCCCCACGUCGUCGUCAAGAGCGUGGUGUUCGAGUCGUACCACAUCCAGGGCGGCACGGACCGGACGGGCGUCCCUACGAAGAUGAUGUCGGUCAACGCGACGGUGCGGCUGCGCUUCCGCAACCGCGGCACCUUCUUCAGCCUGCACGUCACGGCCACGCCGUUCCUCCUCUUCUACGGCGACCUCACCGUCGCCACCGGAGAGAUGGCGGAGUUCUACCAGCCGCGGAAGAGCGGGCGGACGGUGACGGUGUCCGUGGUGGGGAAGCAGGUGCCGCUCUACGGCGCGGGCGCCAGCCUGCACAGCAAGCCCAACAACGGGCGCCUCGGCCCCGCGGUGGUGCCCGUCAGGCUCCGCUUCGUGCUGCGCGCGCGCGCCCACAUCCUCGGCCUCCUCGUCAAGUCCAAGUUCUACCGCCGCGUGCGCUGCGGCCUCGACAUCCGCGAGGCGCACCUCGGCAGGCCGGCCCGCGGCGUCGCCUCCGGCUGCGACUACCACGACGGGAUGCGAUGAUCGUUCCUGCCGCCGUUGUGUCGCCUCGGGCGGGGUUUGCUGCGUUGUGGUUGCGGACGAACUGUGUAAUCGAUUCCUACGAACCGUUCUAAUGUAACCGGCGGCGUCGACAAGAUCACAGAUCGUGGGCGCAGCUUGGCUAAUGCCACGAGUAUCGCAUUAAAUC